UUACAACACGUUAUCAGCACGAGAAGCUCUCAUGUCAGUGGAAAGCACAACGCCACAAAUCCUGUUCACCUCCUUCAGCUGGAAUCUCACAGAUAAGAAACAAUUUUCAUUUCAUCUUCAAAUCUCAGUACGAUUGAUUUACUUGAAGCAACUAUAUAUAUUGUUGUAUGACUGUAUAUCAUCAUUUGCAGAAGCAAAAGAGUACAUACUCAAAAUUCGUAAAGAAUUUGACAGCCAUGUAAAUAGCCUCGGAACUCUAACUUGCGGACCUCGGAUUGAAAUACUUUCUUCUUGAAAGUUGUUCGUCUGCUCAGUAUCUACAACAUAUCAAAAUUUCAGAAAAUGUUAACGGUGCGAUCGUGGCAGAUGUCUGAAAUACCAAACCAGUUUCCAAUUUCCGCAGAAAACUGGGCAGCCACCUUAUGAGUACCAAAACGCCAUUUCGAUAGCUCAAAUCGAAAUUGUUUCUUCACGAAAGUUGUUUGGACCUGAAGUUCCUUGAUCAGAUCAGAACCUGCAGUUUCUUGAUCCUCAUCAUAUAAAAUGAUUGGACCCGAAGUUCCAUCAUACAAAAGGAUCUGGCAUGAAGUCCAUUGAUCCUGAAGAUCAGGACAUGAUGUUCCUAGAUGAGUACCAUUAGUUUGAAGUGCCGCAGUGCCUUAACUUAAUUGUAAUAAAAGCCAUAAGAGUCUCAGUUUACAGACUAUUAAAUAAGGACCAGAAGUUCCUUAUGUCCAUACUCAAAAUGGUUUAGCAGAAGCCUUUAUUAAGCGAAUGAAAUUGAUUUCCCGCGCUCUGCUCAUGAAAACGAAAUUG